CAGUAGGGAAUCUUCCACAAUGGGCGCAACCCUGACCGAGCAACGCCGCGUGAGUGAAGAAGGUUUUCGGAUCGUAAAGCUCUGUUGUAAGAGAAGAACGUGUGUGAGAGUGGAAAGUUCACACAGUGACGGUAACUUACCAGAAAGGGACGGCUAACUACGUGCCAG
rnacentral:rRNA from 1 species